rnacentral:lncRNA from 10 species
GAGAGGUCAAAGAGAUCAGAAGUGUGAGAAAGCCUCAUUGGCUCAUUGGCUUUGCAGAUGAAGGGGGUUACCAGCCAGGGAAUGUGGGUGACUUCAGAAGCUGGACCCUGGUCAACAGCCAGCACGGACAUGAGGACCUCAGUCUUACAGCCAUGUGGAACUGAAAUCUACCAACCACCUGAAUGAGGCUGGAAGUGGAUUCUCCCCCGGAGCCUCCAGAUCAGAGCCCAGCCUGGCUGACAUUGAUUUCAGCCUUGUGAGAUUCAGAGCAGAGCCUCUGAGCUUACCUGGACUUCUGACCUAUGGAGCUGUGAGAUCAUAAGGGAGUGUUCUUUUAAGCUGCCAAAUUUUGGGGAAUCUGUUAUAGCAUCAGUAGAAAGCAAACACAUGUGGGAAGCCAGCUGUCAAGUUAUGAGCAUACAAAGGAAAUUGGGGAAGUGAUAACGUCAAGCAUUCAUCAUGAUAAGGCUUAUGUUAUUGAAUAAAAUUUUCUGAAAGA